GACGAACCGUGCGAACGUUAUUUCGGAAUCACUGGGCUUAAAGGGCGCGUAGGCGGGCGGCCAAGUCAGAGGUGAAAGCCCCCAGCUCAACUGGGGAAGUGCCUUUGAUACUGGUCGUCUCGAGGGAGAUAGGGGCGUGCGGAACUUCCGGUGGAGCGGUGAAAUGCGUAGAUAUCGGAAGGAACACCGGUGGCGAAAGCGGCGCGCUGGAUCUCUUCUGACGCUGAGGCGCGAAAGCCAGGG
rnacentral:rRNA from 1 species